rnacentral:lncRNA from 1 species
CUCCCCUUCAAUAUUCAGAAAAAUUAAAAGAAAUUGAAAAAAAUGACGCACAUGGUCCGGAUAUAUAUCAUUCUUAUAUUCCACCAAACAACAGCAGUUAAUAUUAAUAUUCCACCGAUGCGAGCAUUUAGUCCUUUUAAAAUGUGGUCGCACAAAUGAAUGCAGCGAUUUAUAUUGUUCCAUUUUGAAGACCCAGUCGUAGUAUUUCUUAUAUCAAACA